rnacentral:ncRNA from 1 species
UAUAAAUACAGGCAGAGAUGCACUGUAUACGUCUGAUUGCCGAUACGAGAUUGUAUUAAGCGUACUUGUAAGUACGCCGGGUCAGAUGGGGCAGCCUUUUGUGGGUUGCCUUUUUUCUUUU